rnacentral:rRNA from 1 species
GGGAAUUUUGCGCAAUGGGGGAAACCCUGACGCAGCAACGCCGCGUGGAGGAUGAAGUCUCUUGGGACGUAAACUCCUUUCGAUUGGGAAGAUUAUGACGGUACCAAUAGAAGAAGCCCCGGCUAACUUCGUGCCAGCAGCCGCGGUAAUACGAGGGGGGCAAGCGUUGUUCGGAAUUAUUGGGCGUAAAGGGUGCGUAGGCGGUUUGGUAAGUCUUGUGUGAAAUCUUCGGGCUCAACUCGAAGUCUGCACGAGAAACUGCCGGGCUUGAGUAUGGGAGAGGUGAGUGGAAUUUCCGGUGUAGCGGUGAAAUGCGUAGAUAUCGGAAGGAACACCUGUGGCGAAAGCGGCUCACUGGACCAUAACUGACGCUGAGGCACGAAAGCUAGGGGAGCAAACA